ACCGUCUACAAGGUGCGUGAGUGAGGAACCGAGACUGAGGCAUGAAAAUGGGAUGAAAAGCAAGUUUUGCCGCAUACAUCAUGAAAUCGACGAAAAGAACGGCAGGACAUUGCUGCUUUUGAAAUACUACGCCCAGUGUACCAGCCGAGGAAGAGUCAGGCUGGGAUGAUCUUUCAACCAAAUUAUUCUCCUAUAAGUUCCCAUUUGAUGACAAGACAGAAGAGUCUCUUUUUGUGAGGAGAGGACCCCGGAGACAACUGCAUUCGACAAAGGAAGCCCAAGGAAGGUACGCUCACAGCACAUAUACUAAUUAAAGCCAUGAACAAAAUGGCAAAAUAAGGAUUGGUUUAUAAUGGAAGUAAAACACGUUUUACUUUUACAUAUGGUGUCUUAAUUGAAAUCUCCACAAAGUAGCCAUUCUUACAAUUGUUUAUUGUUUUAACAUUGUCAUGAAAAUAUAUGUGGAUACGAAAUUUCUUUGUAACUGAAGUGAGGUACUUACGAUUGUCCAAUAAUGAUGAAAAAGGAGGAUCCACAAGAUCCUAAUUAUUAAAUUAUUGAAUUUAAUUUCUCUUGACAUGAUCAAAUACGCUACAAAAGUAUGACAACAAAACUCAUGUAGCCAUUAUGAGGCCGUUUAAGCAAAGCUCAAUUAUUGACCUGGAAAAAAAAAAGAAGUGACAGUGGUUCUUGAAAAGCUCAUGAUGAUUACCACUUCCUGUCUGGUCUAUUGGCUGUAGGCCAACAUAGCCAUGUGUCAAGAUCCCCCAUACAUGGGAACAUGACACUGAUGAUGACACCACAGGAGAACACAUCAGCACAGCCCAGCCACCCAUUACAAAUGACAUUUCAAUUUGACAGCAAACAUGUCUGAACUAAAUCAUCUAUAAAUAAUAAAUAUGUUUCUGAUCUUUAGAAUAAUACAAUACUGAUAUGAUGCAGUUGCACACAAAACACUUCAAUCUCAAUGAUUUGAUUAUCUCUUAUUAUUUUGCUUGGGUUUUGAAGAAUUUGUAUGUUUUUUUGAAUUGGAUGACAGACAAUAGUUAUGCCUCUGUCACCUGCAUGUGUUGCAUCAUCAAAUGCUGUAUUGCUCAGCUCCUUGUGUCCAUGUCCAGUACGGUAUUUUCGCUUUAUUUGUCGGUGCUGCACGUUAGCGGUGGCUCUGUCAAUCAAUGCUAAUGGGAGAGACCUAUGAGACAGAGGAACGUGCGUCACACACACGCACACACACGCACACAUACACACACACACACACACACACACACACACACACACACACACACACACACACACACACACACACUCAGGCAACACUGAGGAAAGUGCGUCACACACACACACACACACACACACACACACACACACACUCAGGCAACACUGAGGAAAGUGCGUCACACACACACACACACACACACACACACACACACACACACACACUCAGGCAACACUGAGGAAAGUGCGUCACACACACACACACACACACACACACACACACACACACACACACACACACACACACUCAGGCGGCACCAACGUUUUUGGUAUGUCAUCAUCACAUCUCAUAUGAGUGAACGGCGAAGCCAAAAGGGCCCCUGGUGCAGCUGGGCCAGCGCGCCGCUCGGCUCGCCUCCUCUCCUCGCCUCCUCUCCUCUCGUCUCCUCUCCUCUCGUCUCCACUCCUCUCCUCUCCUCUCCUCUCCUCUCCUCUCCUCUCCUCUCCUCCUUUCCUCUCCUCUCCUCUCCUCUCGUCUCCACUCCUCUCCUCUCGUCUCCACUCCCUCAGGCAGAUUAAGCUUUAGGAAGUAGAGCGCGGCGGAGGGAUGACACAGCUAAAAUUAACCAGCAGCCUGCCUGUUGAAUGACGGGCUUAUAAAUAUCUCACACAGGAAGAACCAGAACGGCACUGUCACCCCCCCCCCCCCCCCCCACACACACACACACACACACACACCACCCUCCUCUCUCUCUCUCUCUCUCUCUCUCUCUCUCUCUCUCUCUCUCUCUCUCUCUCUCUCUCUCUCUCUCUCGCUCACUGUCAUGUGCACAUUAUUAGCAUGUAAUGCACUGACUUAGGUGUACCUCAAAGGUAAACACAGCCUCAUCCUCCCUCUACCCCUGGAGACAAGUUUGAGUUGGUAAAGGGCAGACACCAUGACUGGCAUUUAAAGGGUUUGGGGAUUGUCAAGCUCAUUGACAAUAGCAUCCCCACCACCACACACCCCUGUUCGCAGUGAUUCCCAGGCCAGUGUUUAAAGGAAGAAAUUUAGUAAUAAACGUUCUCGAAGAAAUUGUACAAUUGUUCAGACUUACUGUAAGUUCUAAUGAUUAAAUAGAAUUUAAAUCACGGAAAGAAAGCAGGCCAAGAAACCCCCGCAGCCGUUAAGUGCUGUAAUGGCUAACAAAAGUACCUGUGGAGAUUUUUAUUUUUAUUUUUUUUGCCGCCAGCCAUGCUUGUGCAUGUGAACUACCUAAUAAAAAACCCAUCAGCUGUCCUUGUUUGAGCACCACACACACACACACACACACACACACACGGACACACGGACACACACACACACACACACACACACACACACACACGGACACACACACGCAGCCACCACCAGUUCAUAACCUUCCGUUGAGCUUUGUCAGUGUGUGUGUGUGUGUGUGUGGGUGUGUGUGUGUGUGUGUGGGAGGCCUGCGAUGGGGUUUUGAUGACUCACUCAGGCCUAUAGCCUGUAUGCAGAGUUGACAGGCUGCCCAGGCAGGGCCUGCCCUCAGCCCUGUGCCUCCUCCACACUCUCCCUGUCUGCUACCACCUGUGACCCAUUAGCCAAAACACUUUGAUGCACCACAUUCCAUAUGUUUCCCCAGCAGGUGAGAGUAAGACGGACCAAAUAUGAAAGUGGAUCCUUUUAUCAAUAGGCUAAACCGGGCUCCCAAAGAAUAAACCCAGGAAGCUCACCUAUACACAUUUACUGUAAUCCCUGAUCGCAUGGGCAGAUAGGACCUCCGUGUUUGCUGGGUCUCUGUUGGCAGUGCUGGAGAGCCAAUGAAACAUAUUUUUUUAAUUUCCAAAACUGUUAUACUAAGGUCAUAACACAGCAACUACAAAGUAUAGUGGCGAAAAAUAUUACAUCUUCUUCCAUUUUUAUGAGAUUUUUCACCUUGAAUCCGUUGACAUCUGAAAGGCUAAGUAGUAAUUCGUAGCAUUUGGAUUUUCAACACAGAUUUGAUUUCUCCAGGAUGUUAUCUCUGUGGUGAAAAGGAAGCUCUACACAAUGUUUUAGGUGUCACGUUGCGUUGCCAUAGCAUCCCGUGCGUGGUUCAUUCGGAUUCAAUUUCCUCUUCCGCAUACCCAUUGUAUACAUUGUAUUGUAUACAUUGCACAUCACAUGUAUAGGUUCUCUGGCAGACACACGCUGUACAGAUCCUAAUCAAUAGGGUUUUAUGUAGGCUUUAUGAUAAAGGAGACGAGCGCUAUACUGUGCUACUGCACACACACCUGUGUUGGUUUUUGGUCUGUCUACUUCCUGCUCUAUGCUGUGACUGGCCCGCUGACUGUACCCUUAACUGCAAGUCGAGUCACGUAAACAAAUGUGUCCUGGUUUGCCCGCUGCAUAGCCUACAACAACAGAGCAUCCUCUUCAGCUCGCACGAUGAAAGUCCUUAUUUUCUGCGGUGUAAAGCUUGUGGUGGUGGUGGUGGUGGUGUGGCAUGCAUACCCUGACAGAGAGUGUGUAGUCAUAGCCUGCUGUGGUCAAGCAGCUGGUCGUAGGUUUCCCAGCAGGGACCAAUAGUCAAGCAGGCAGAUGCUCCCGAAACACAGGGUCACGAAACAGUCGCCGGAAGAAAUUGUGUGUGUUUGUGUUUGUUUGUGUUUGUGUGUGUGUGUGUAUAUGAGUUAGAGAGAGAGAGAGAGAGAGAGAGAGAGAGAGAGAGAGAGAGAGAGAGAGAGAGAGAGAGAGAGAGAGAGAGAGAGAGAGAGAGAGAGAGAGAGAAAUUAUCUCCAGGAAACUUCUAGUGUCCAUUGAUUCAUUAAAAGCUUUAUCCGUAGCCAGGGAAGUGCGAAGUGCGAGAAGGGGGAGGGGGGGGGGUCUCUUUUUGUGCAUAUGUUUUUGUGUGUGAGUCUCAUUAUCUGUAAACUAAGACACUUAACACGGUGGUUCACAUACAGCCUUACGCAUUUGUCAUUGUCUGUCUCUCCUAUGUAUUCUCAUGUUACGAUCGAUUUCACAAACAUAUUGCAGAUACAUACAGUAUCUACCUCUUAAAGGCACAGUGUCUCCAGCGACUCAACAAUGAUUGCCGACAAGACUGACUUCCGAUCAGAACUUGGCAUUAUGACCUGAAAGAGAAAUUAAAUGGAAUUUUGAUUGAUUACUAUAGCCUUGGCAUCAAGCUAAUCACUAGGAUGGCAUUUUGUUUUCAUUGCGUUUGCAUCAACUCCCACUACUGUCCCACUUCUGCUCCGAAGUUAAAUUAGGGCUGUAAGAGGCUUAUGUGUCUGUGUGCUUUGUCAUCUCCUUGCUGCCAGUGACGUGUGGUGACACAUGACCCUGAUUCAGCUCAUCUUAUCUCAUCUCAACUAGGGUAGAUGUGUAUGGGAAAAGCACCAUGGGAAUUGUAGUUUCAUAUGUAGCUUCUUCUGAAUGUAAAGUAUUAACAUGCCUACUUCUAAAAGCCUUUACAAUGGCAAUUCUUUGUAUUAUUUCUGAAGUAUCUUGAGCUGGGCUCACUAUUGACCAUUGUGAGGAAAGAAACGCUCCAUGAAAAGACAAUUUCAAAACAAAAUAGAACAUUCAGGAGCAUACCUGUAGAGUAUAGGCGAGUAAGUACAGAUUGUUAGUGCACAGUCUUUGUAAGACAGUGUUGUUUUCUGCAAACAGACGGAAACAGUCAAGGGAAUGUUCAUUUGUCUAUUCAUAUAAUGACUCAUGCAAGCAUCGACUGACUUGUUAAGGUGAUUAAUUAGUUAAUUAUUCAUUAAUUGGUCAUUCAUUAGCAGCUUCUUAGAUCUUUUUAGCGUGGUAACAUAAAAUCACUGGAAUUUUGGUUACAUUUUCAGGAUUAGUUUUUGGGACCACCCUAUUAUCCUCUAUUUAAAUGGCCGCAACAAUGCUCUCGUUGGAUUUCUCGUUGUGGCGUGGAGUCUUUGAGUCUUCAUUGAGUUUUUUUUGCUUUUACACUACAAAGCAGAGGAGGAUGAAAUAGAGCUGUCUUGUCAGUGGUCUGCGCUCUCUGAGCACCGUUGUAGUUAUUCAUACCAAAUCUGGUUUAAAGGAGACCUCAAGCUCAUUUUUAAACUCGAAGAAGUUGUCGGUCGGCUUACACUGAAUGUCGACAUAAUAGCCAAUAAUGCCAGUAGUAAAGUCCUUGUACGUUUACAAUAACUCCAUGCUGAUGCCAUGUGUUCCCAGUCAGCAGUGGGAUGUUUUGGGCGAGAUGUCUGACGAAUCUGUGACCUGCUGCCUUCGUCUUCGUCAUGGUUAGGCAACGACCCUCUGGAUGGUUGACGAUUUCCUCUGUGGCGUGCUUCUCUGUUGCCAUAGUAACCCUUACGUGUGGACACAGUGGCAAAAAAAACAGGAAGCGGAAAUCCAUGACAUAUUCAUGCGAUAACCCACAGUGGGUGCAUCCCAAUAUGUGUCCUUGCCUCCUCCACUUGUGCUUGUCUCCUCGUCCCGCCUCCUGGCCCCUCCUCCGUGGAGAAAACGAUAAAGUUUCCCAGCUGUCAUCCUCGCCACAACAACUUUUGAGGGACUGUUUUUCAUUCACCAUCCCAAUUGCAAAUGAGAAAAAGACUUUAGAAUUGAGCUUUUGCAAGAUAUUGAAAUAUAAUGCUGUUGUCAGUGAUGUCAUCAUGACGAGAAGCAAGUGGAGGAGGCAAGUGGAGGAGGCAAGGUCACAUAUUGGGAUGCACCCGAAGACUCCCUCAGCCUCUCAAGCCUCUCCAUCCUGGCAGCGAAUAAUACUAUGUGUCAUAUUCAUGCGAUAACCCACAGUGCGAAUGAAGACUUCCUCAGCCUCUCAAGCCUCUCAAACCUCUCCAUCCUGGCAGCGAAUAAUACUGUGUGUCAUCAGCAACAGCAGCAUCAUCAUCCUUCGAAAGGGUGGAGCCAAGUGGGGUUGGGGGGAGGGAGGGAAGAGAAGGGGAAAAGGGACUCAGGUGCCGACACGACCACGCAGCGCAGCUCCUGCACACACGAUUUAGACACAGACAGGCAGGGGCUGGCGGGGAGGGCUGCACUUCUGUCUGAGACCAUUCCACGAUUUCCUCCUCCGCUGAAGCCAAAGCUGAUGUUCCCGCUGUUGCUAAUGGAGUCGCUCUACUUGUGUAUGUGCCUGCUGUGUGUUGUAUAUAUCUGAGAGGCUACCGGAUGAAAACAAGAGAGAGCAGAGCAGAGCAGAGCAGCAUCCCAGCUGUUAUGUAACCUCUUCCCUGUAUAGCCUCAACAUGCGCCUUUAAAAAAAAAAAAAAAAAAAACAAGGAAGGGAGGGAGUAUUUAAAAAAAAAGGAAAAGAGGAAUCAGGUGACCAGGCUCUCUCUCUCUCUCUCGGGCACAGGAGAGUGUCUCCACUCUCCACUCACGGCUUAACUGCAGGGAGGCGAAGGGUUGGUCAGGGUGGAGGAGGAGUCGAGCGAAAGGAGUGUGUACAUGUGUGUGUCUCGCGCCGCGCAAGAGGACUGCUGUUAAGGCCAAAUGCCCAAUUACAAAUGGGCACAUAGAAGUGAGCGAGAGAGAGAGAGAGAGAGAGAGGAGCAGUAGGAGAGAGGAGGGGUACAGAAGGGACAGUUACAGGAAGGUGGUUCUAUCUCUUUAACAGAGCUCUCUCUCUCUCUCUCUCUCUCUCUGUCUCUCUCUCUCUCUCUCUCCCUCUCUCUCUCUCUCCCUCUCUCUCCCUGGAUCAUUACAGGGUAGUAGGCAGUACUCGUUUUACCUCCGUUGCGUUGCGUUGUUGAUGUUGGUGUUGCUGCUGCUGCUGCUGCCGCCGCCGCCGGUUCCACCAGUAUCACCACUGGCUGUUUCUGCCGACACUGCUGCUGCCCCCGCGACAGAGAAGCCCCCCAGAAGCACCGGUGCGCAUGUAGCGACAAACAGUGGGCAUAGAGAGAGAGAGAGAGAGAGGGAGAGGGAGAAGUCUAGGGAGAGAGAGAGAGAGAGAGGUCUAGAGAAUUACAUGCUGCGUCAUAUUGAGGUAGAGAGGGAGAGGGAGGGAGGUAGAGAGAAAGAGAGGGAGAGGGAGAGAGAAUACGGGAAGGGACGGGGGACAAAUCAGGGAGGGAG